rnacentral:rRNA from 1 species
UACAGAGGUCUCAAGCGUUUGUUCGGAUUCAUUGGGCGUAAAGGGUGCGUAGGCGGCGCGGUAAGUCGGGGUGUGAAAUCUCGGAGCUUAACUCCGAAACUGCAUUCGAUACUGCCGUGCUUGAGGACUGGGAGAGGAGACUGGAAUUUACGGUGUAGCGGUGAAAUGCGUAGAUAUCGUAAGGAAGGCCAGUGGCGAAGGCGGGUCUCUGGACAGUUCCUGACGCUGAGGCACGAAGGCCAGGGGGAGCAAAACGGG